rnacentral:rRNA from 1 species
GAUGAACGCUGGCGGCGUGCCUAAUACAUGCAAGUCGAGCGAACAGACGAGGAGCUUGCUCCUCUGACGUUAGCGGCGGACGGGUGAGUAACACGUGGAUCACCUACCUAUAAGACUGGGAUCACUUCGGGAAACCGGCGCUAAUACCGGAUAAUAUCUUGAACCGCAUGGUUCAAUAGUGAAAGACGGUUUUGCUGUCACUUAUAGAUGGAUCCGCGCCGCAUUAGCUAGUUGGUAAGGUAACGGCUUACCAAGGCAACGAUGCGUAGCCGACCUGAGAGGGUGAUCGGCCACACUGGAACUGAGACACGGUCCAGACUCCUACGGGAGGCAGCAGUAGGGAAUCUUCCGCAAUGGGCGGAAGCCUGACGGAGCAACGCCGCGUGAGUGAUGAAGGUCUUCGGAUCGUAAAACUCUGUUAUUAGGGAAGAACAAAUGUGUAAGUAACUAUGCACGUCUUGACGGUACCUAAUCAGAAAGCCACGGCUAACUACGUG